CAUAGCGACUAUCGUGGCAUAUCAAUAAGCGGAGGAAAAGAAACUAACUAGGAUUCCCUCUAGUAACGGCGAGUGAAGCGGGAAGAGCUCAAAUUUGAAAUCUUCAAGGUUCUACCUUGACGAAUUGUAGUUUAUAGAAGUGUUUUCUGUUAGUAGGAGUGGCAAAAGUUCUUUGGAAUAGGACAUCAUAGAGGGUGAGAAUCCCGUAUUUGGUCAUUCUUUCUAGCUUUGUGAUACACUUUCAACGAGUCGGAUUGUUUGGGAAUGCAGUCCAAAAUGGGUGGUAAAUUUCAUCUAAAGCUAAAUAUUGGCGAGAGACCGAUAGCGAACAAGUACCGUGAGGGAAAGAUGAAAAGAACUUUGAAAAGAGAGUUAAACAGUACGUGAAAUUGUCAAAAGGGAAGCGUUUGACACCAGUGUUGUUUUUCCGAAAAUCAAUUACGAAUGUUUUGUUUUUGAGGAGUUAUGACUUCAUCGGCUUGCUUCUCUCUUUACGAAACUUUCUUAAUGCACUUUUCGGUUAACAAGUCAACAUCAAUUUCUUUUGUUGUAAAAGGGUAUGAGGAAGGUGGCUUUCUUUUCGGAGAAAGUGUUUAUAGCCUUGUGCCUCUGCAAUCGGAGAGAUUGAGGUCUGCAGCGUAGAUCCUUCGGGGUUAGAUACAUUUGUGCUAAGUUAUAGCUUUUCAUAGACAACUUGUUGACUAUGUUAAGUCUUGUAGCUUACUCGCUUAUGCUAUUUUACCUACGCUUAGGAUGUUGAUAUGCAUGACUGAUAU
rnacentral:rRNA from 1 species